rnacentral:rRNA from 1 species
ACUCCUACGGGAGGCAGCAGUGGGGAAUAUUGCACAAUGGGCGCAAGCCUGAUGCAGCAACGCCGCGUGAGGGACGACGGCCUUCGGGUUGUAAACCUCUUUUAGUAGGGAAGAAGCGAAAGUGACGGUACCUGCAGAAAAAGCACCGGCUAACUACGUGCCAGCAGCCGCGGUAAUACGUAGGGUGCAAGCGUUAUCCGGAAUUAUUGGGCGUAAAGAGCUCGUAGGCGGUCUGUCGCGUCUGCUGUGAAAACUGGGGGCUCAACCCCCAGCCUGCAGUGGGUACGGGCAGACUAGAGUGCGGUAGGGGAGAUUGGAACUCCUGGUGUAGCGGUGGAAUGCGCAGAUAUCAGGAAGAACACCGAUGGCGAAGGCAGAUCUCUGGGCCGUAACUGACGCUGAGGAGCGAAAGCAUGGGGAGCGAACAGGAUUAGAUACCCUGGUAGUCCAUGCCGUAAACGUUGGGAACUAGAUGUAGGGUCCAUUCCACGGAUUCUGUGUCGCAGCUAACGCAUUAAGUUCCCCGCCUGGGGAGUACGGCCGCAAGGCUAAAACUCAAAGGAAUUGACGGGGGCCCGCACAAGCGGCGGAGCAUGCGGAUUAAUUCGAUGCAACGCGAAGAACCUUACCAAGGCUUGACAUAUAGAGGAAAAGGCUGGAAACAGUCUCCCCGCAAGGUCUCUAUACAGGUGGUGCAUGGUUGUCGUCAGCUCGUGUCGUGAGAUGUUGGGUUAAGUCCCGCAACGAGCGCAACCCUCGUUCUAUGUUGCCAGCACGUAAUGGUGGGAACUCAUAGGAGACUGCCGGGUUCAACUCGGA